rnacentral:rRNA from 1 species
GACGAACGCUGGCGGCGUGCUUAACACAUGCAAGUCGAGCGGUAAGGCCCUUUCGGGGGUACACGAGCGGCGAACGGGUGAGUAACACGUGGGUGACCUGCCCUCAGCUCUGGGAUAAGCCUGGGAAACCGGGUCUAAUACCGGAUAUGACUCCAUGACGCAUGUUGUGGGGUGGAAAGCCUUGUGCGGCUGAGGAUGGGCCCGCGGCCUAUCAGCUUGUUGGUGGGGUGAUGGCCUACCAAGGCGACGACGGGUAGCCGGCCUGAGAGGGCGACCGGCCACACUGGGACUGAGACACGGCCCAGACUCCUACGGGNGGCAGCAGUGGGGAAUCUUGCGCAAUGGGCGAAAGCCUGACGCAGCGACGCCGCGUGA